AUUGAACGCUGGCGGCAUGCCUUACACAUGCAAGUCGAACGGCAGCACGGGAGCAAUCCUGGUGGCGAGUGGCGAACGGGUGAGUAAUAUAUCGGAACGUGCCCAGUCGUGGGGAUAACGUAGCGAAAGCUACGCUAAUACCGCAUACGAUCUAUGGAUGAAAGCGGGGGAUCGCAAGACCUCGCGCGAUUGGAGCGGCCGAUAUCAGAUUAGGUAGUUGGUGAGGUAAAGGCUCACCAAGCCGACGAUCUGUAGCUGGUCUGAGAGGACGACCAGCCACACUGGGACUGAGGCACGGCCCAGACUCCUACGGGAGGCAGCAGUGGGGAAUUUUGGACAAUGGGCGCAAGCCUGAUCCAGCAAUGCCGCGUGAGUGAUGAAGGCCU
rnacentral:rRNA from 1 species